rnacentral:rRNA from 1 species
ACGUUAGCGGCGGACGGGUGAGUAACACAUGGGUAACCUACCUAUAAGACUGGGAUAACUUCGGGAAACCGGAGCUAAUACCGGAUAAUAUUUCGAACCGCAUGGUUCGAUAGUGAAAGAUGGUUUUGCUAUCACUUAUAGAUGGACCCGCGCCGUAUUAGCUAGUUGGUAAGGUAACGGCUUACCAAGGCGACGAUACGUAGCCGACCUGAGAGGGUGAUCGGCCACACUGGAACUGAGACACGGUCCAGACUCCUACGGGAGGCAGCAGCC